rnacentral:rRNA from 1 species
GACGGAGGGUGCAAGCGUUGUUCGGAAUUACUGGGCGUAAAGCGCGUGUAGGCGGCUUGCUAAGUCUGAUGUGAAAGCCCGCGGCUCACCCCCGGAAGUGCAUUGGAAACUGGCGAGCUCGAGUCCCGGAGAGGAGGGUUGAAUUCCUGGUGGAGCGGUGAAAUGCGUAGAUAUCAGGAGGAACACCGGUGGCGAAGGCGGCCCUCUGGACGGUGACUGACGCUGAGACGCGAAAGCGUGGGGAGCAAACAGG